rnacentral:rRNA from 1 species
GACGAACGCUGGCGGCGUGCUUAACACAUGCAAGUCGAACGGAAAGGCCCUGCUUUUGUGGGGUGCUCGAGUGGCGAACGGGUGAGUAACACGUGAGUAACCUGCCCUUGACUUUGGGAUAACUUCAGGAAACUGGGGCUAAUACCGGAUAGGAGCUCCUGCUGCAUGGUGGGGGUUGGAAAGUUUCGGCGGUUGGGGAUGGACUCGCGGCUUAUCAGCUUGUUGGUGGGGUAGUGGCUUACCAAGGCUUUGACGGGUAGCCGGCCUGAGAGGGUGACCGGCCACAUUGGGACUGAGAUGCGGCCCAGACUCCUACGGGAGGCAGCAGUGGGGAAUAUUGCACAAUGGGCGGAGGCCUGAUGCAGCAACGCCGCGUGCGGGAUGACGGCCUUCGGGUUGUAAACCGCUUUCGCCUGUGACGAAGCGUGAGUGACGGUAAUGGGUAAAGAAGCACCGGCUAACUACGU